rnacentral:lncRNA from 1 species
GGAAAAGCAUCGAACCUUCCUUGAAAGCAGGGUUUCAUGGUUGCAGGGUCCAGAGGGGAGAUCUGCUUGGAGUUCAAAUUACUGCUACUAAUGAUCAUCAUGUCUAAUGUGCAAGUAAUGCCUCAGAGUUCUAAAAACACUGUGACUGUUCUGGAAGGAUGAUGUCACUCAAGAUAUGAAGACCUAGAAGAUAGAGCACAUGCCCAGGCUCCAUGCCUCAGGGACCAGCAUGAGGGAUGGGUAGACAGCCUUUUCCACCAAAACCACCACGCCCAGGGACAAGUGCAAAGAGGAACUCUGUUGUUCCCUAAGAGCCCAGUGACCAAGGUGAACAGGGAACAAUGCUUGAACUCUGAAAUGGUUUCAGAGGUCCCGAACCAAGAGAUGACCAACCAUGGCAAGGCCCCACUGCAGAGUACCUUUGAGCCAUUCCCUAGUCUGAGUCACAAGUCACAACCUUGCAGCUGAUUGAGUCCUCAGGGGAAGCCUCUCAUCUCCCACACCUUCUUGAUGCUCUCAAGAAGGACCAUUUCAGGCUGACCCAAAGUUGGAUUAUUAAAGCUGAUUUUCA